rnacentral:misc_RNA from 1 species
GAGAAGACGCAGCGAAAUGCGAUAAGUAAUGUGAAUUGCAGAAUUCAGUGAAUCAUCGAAUCUUUGAACGCACAUUGCGCCCGCCAGUAUUCUGGCGGGCAUGCCUGUUCGAGCGUCAUUACAACCCUCAGGCCCCCGGGCCUGGCGUUGGGGAUCGGCGGAAGCCCCCUGCGGGCACAACGCCGUCCCCCAAAUACAGUGGCGGUCCCGCCGCAGCUUCCAUUGCGUAGUAGCUAACACCUCGCAACUGGAGAGCGGCGCGGCCACGCCGUAAAACACCCAACUUCUGAAUGUUGACCUCGAAUCAGGUAGGAAUACCCGCUGAACUUAAGCAUAUCAAUAAGCGGAGGA